GAAUAUAUUUCUGCCUGAUUAGCAUAAAUAGUCACUUACCUCAUGAAUUACUAACAAAGUUUAUCUUAAAAUAUAGGUCUUUUUAUUAAGUGGAACACAAACAUAUGUACAAUAAAUUCUGAUUUUCCGGUGCCGUUAAAGAACAACUCGCAUUUGGUUUCGGCAAAACGAGGCUGAAAGGGCGGGUGCAAGCUGCAGAAGGAGGCAACGUUCAGACAAGUGAGAUUGCUUCCUGGAUGAUCUCGACGUGGACUGCGUGUCCUGAAAACACCUGCAACUCAUCACCUACACCUUCGUGAGGGGCCGUGAUAGAAAGUACAUCUCAUGCACAGAGUGCUUCAAAGGGACUAAACUGCAUGAAGAUGUUAAAAAAAAGGAAAAAACAAAAACAAAACCUCUGGAUUGCAUGGAGAGAAUGUUUUCAGCCCUUGAGGUUGAACAGAGUCCUACAGGAAGAACGCAUGAUUAAAAGGAUGAGACUGAAGACAGAUCAGGCGAGCUGAACUCUGAGACCGCAGCUCCCUGGCUUCCCGUGCCGGCGGGCGCCUACAGGUGUCAGGCAGAACCCGCUCACCUUGGACUGUCUACCUGACACUCUCGGUGGGAGCCACCCCGGGAAGUCGGUGUCACAGUGGAAUCACUUCCCGAACGUGGGCACCGCCAUGAGAUUGCUGUCCAUACUUACGUGACCGGGAGGGGGAUCGGCUGCACAUGGAAUGCGCUGUGAUUGUCUCGUUUCACCAGGGGAAGAAUGAAAAUCUCCUAACAGCCUCAGCAGGGCUUCACCGGGUUUCCCCAGGAUGGAGCACAGCUCACGGCUGAUGGAAGUCCACGCCCCUUCUCGCUGGCCUCCCUCUCGUGAAGGCCAACUGAGUUGGAUGGAACUGAAUAUUCUCUUGAG